rnacentral:rRNA from 1 species
CCACGGGUGGCAGCAGUGAGGAAUAUUUGUCAAUGGGCGGGAGCCUGAACCAGCCAAGUCGCGUGAGGGAAGACGGUCCUAUGGAUUGUAAACCUCUUUAGGCGGGGAGCAAUGCCGGGCACGCGUGCCCGGAGGGAGAGUACCCGCAGAAUAAGCAUCGGCUAACGCCGUGCCAGCAGCCGCGGUAAUACGGAGGAUGCGAGCGUUAACCGGAUUUAUUGGGGUUAAAGGGUGCGUAGGCGGAUUUUUAAGUCAGCGGUAAAAGGUCCGGGCUCAACCCGGGCCGGCCGUUGAAACUGGGGAUCUUGAGUGGGCGAGAAGUAUGCGGAAUGCGUGGUGUAGCGGUGAAAUGCAUAGAUAUCACGCAGAACUCCGAUUGCGAAGGCAGCAUACCGGCGCCCGACUGACGCUGAGGCACGAAAGCGUGGGGAUCGAACAGGAUUAGAUACCCCUGUAGUC